UUAACACAUGCAAGUCGAGGGGCAGCAUGGUCUUAGCUUGCUAAGGCCGAUGGCGACCGGCGCACGGGUGAGUAACACGUAUCCAACCUGCCGUCUACUCUUGGACAGCCUUCUGAAAGGAAGAUUAAUACAAGAUGGCAUCAUGAGUCCACAUGUUCACAUGAUUAAAGGUAUUCCGGUAGACGAUGGGGAUGCGUUCCAUUAGAUAGUAGGCGGGGUAACGGCCCACCUAGUCUUCGGUGGAUAGGGGUUCUGAGAGGAAGGUCCCCCACAUUGGAACUGAGACACGGUCCAAACUCCUACGGGAGGCAGCAGUGAGGAAUAUUGGUCAAUGGGCGAGAGCCUGAACCAGCCAAGUAGCGUGAAGGAUGACUGCCCUAUGGGUUGUAAACUUCUUUUAUAAAGGAAUAAAGUCGGGUAUGGAUACCCGUUUGCAUGUACUUUAUGAAUAAGGAUCGGCUAACUCCGUGCCAGCAGCCGCGGUAAUACGGAGGAUCCGAGCGUUAUCCGGAUUUAUUGGGUUUAAAGGGAGCGUAGAUGGAUGUUUAAGUCAGUUGUGAAAGUUUGCGGCUCAACCGUAAAAUUGCAGUUGAUACUGGAUAUCUUGAGUGCAGUUGAGGCAGGCGGAAUUCGUGGUGUAGCGGUGAAAUGCUUAGAUAUCACGAAGAACUCCGAUUGCGAAGGCAGCCUGCUAAGCUGCAACUGACAUUGAGGCUCGAAAGUGUGGGUAUCAAACAGGAUUAGAUACCCUGGUAGUCCACACGGUAAACGAUGAAUACUCGCUGUUUGCGAUAUACAGCAAGCGGCCAAGCGAAAGCGUUAAGUAUUCCACCUGGGGAGUACGCCGGCAACGGUGAAACUCAAAGGAAUUGACGGGGGCCCGCACAAGCGGAGGAACAUGUGGUUUAAUUCGAUGAUACGCGAGGAACCUUACCCGGGCUUAAAUUGCAGAUGAAUUACGGUGAAAGCCGUAAGCCGCAAGGCAUCUGUGAAGGUGCUGCAUGGUUGUCGUCAGCUCGUGCCGUGAGGUGUCGGCUUAAGUGCCAUAACGAGCGCAACCCUUGUUGUCAGUUACUAACAGGUUCCGCUGAGGACUCUGACAAGACUGCCAUCGUAAGAUGUGAGGAAGGUGGGGAUGACGUCAAAUCAGCACGGCCCUUACGUCCGGGGCUACACACGUGUUACAAUGGGGGGUACAGAGGGCCGCUACCACGCGAGUGGAUGCCAAUCCCAAAAACCUCUCUCAGUUCGGACUGGAGUCUGCAACCCGACUCCACGAAGCUGGAUUCGCUAGUAAUCGCGCAUCAGCCAUGGCGCGGUGAAUACGUUCCCGGGCCUUGUACACACCGCCCGUCAAGCCAUGAAAGCCGGGGGUACCUGAAGUACGUAACCGCAAGGAGCGUCCUAGGGUAAAACUGGUAAUUGGGGCUAAA
rnacentral:rRNA from 1 species